rnacentral:tRNA from 1 species
GGAGAAAUGGCAGAGCGAUUAAUUGCACCCAUUUUAAAUUUUUCAAAAUUAUUGUAGCCUUAUUUUAUUUUUAUUCGACAGGGGUUCAAAUCCUUCUUUCUCUA